CACGUAGGGGGCGAGCGUUGUCCGGAAUUACUGGGCGUAAAGCGCACGUAGGCGGCUUGGUAAGUUAGAGGUGAAAGCCUGGAGCUCAACUCCAGAAUUGCCUUUAAGACUGCCGAGCUAGCAGGUGAGAGAGGUGAGUGGAAUUCCGAGUGUAGAGGUGAAAUUCGUAGAUAUUCGGAAGAACACCAGUGGCGAAGGCGGCUCACUGGCUCAUACUGGACGCUGAGGUGCGAAAGCGUGGGGAGCAAACAGG
rnacentral:rRNA from 1 species